rnacentral:rRNA from 1 species
UACGGGGGGGGCAAGCGUUGUUCGGAAUUACUGGGCGUAAAGGGCUCGUAGGCGGCCAACUAAGUCGGAUGUGAAAUCCCCAGGCUCAACCUGGGAACUGCAUCCGAUACUGGAUGGCUUGAAUUCGGGAGAGGGAUGCAGAAUUCCAGGUGUAGCGAUGAAAUGCGUAGAUAUCAGGAGGAACACCGGUGGCGAAGGCGGAUCUCUGGGCCAUUACUGACGCUGAGGAGCGAAAGCGUGGGGAGCGAACAGG